rnacentral:rRNA from 1 species
GAUGAACGCUGGCGGCGUGCCUAAUACAUGCAAGUCGAGCGAAGCGGGGACAGGUGAGUAACACGCGGAUAACCUCCUAUAACACUGGGAUAAAUCAGGGAAACCGGAGCUAAACCCGAUACUUAUAGUUGGAUCCGUGCUGCAUUAGUCAGUUGGUAAGGUAACGGCUUACCAAGGCAACGAUGCAUAGCCGACCUGAGGGAGUGACCGGCCACUCGUGAAUUGGGACCCGGUCCAGACUCCUACGGGGGGCAGCGGUGGGGAAUCUUCCGCAAUGGGCGAAAUCCUUACGACGCAACGCCGCGGGAUUGAUAAGGGUUUUCGGUUCUUAAACCUCUGUUAUCAGGGAAACGGUACCUGAUCAGAAAGCCACGGCUAACUACGUGCCAGCCGCCGCGGUAAUUC